GACGAACGCUGGCGGCGCGCCUAACACAUGCAAGUCGAACGAGCGAGAGAGAGCUUGCUUUCUCGAGCGAGUGGCGAACGGGUGAGUAACGCGUGAGGAACCUGCCUCAAAGAGGGGGACAACAGUUGGAAACGACUGCUAAUACCGCAUAAGCCCACGGCUCGGCAUCGAGCAGGGGGAAAAGGAGCAAUCCGCUUUGAGAUGGCCUCGCGUCCGAUUAGCUAGUUGGUGAGGUAACGGCCCACCAAGGCGACGAUCGGUAGCCGGACUGAGAGGUUGAACGGCCACAUUGGGACUGAGACACGGCCCAGACUCCUACGGGAGGCAGCAGUGGGGAAUAUUGCACAAUGGGGGAAACCCUGAUGCAGCGACGCCGCGUGGAGGAAGAAGGUCUUCGGAUUGUAAACUCCUGUUGUCGGGGAAGAUAAUGACGGUACCCAACAAGGAAGUGACGGCUAACUACGUG
rnacentral:rRNA from 1 species